CAACUUUUAUAAGAACCCGUGUCGUUUCCCUUGGAACAAACUUUUGAGUGACGAAGGGAGUAGUUUAUUUAGAUGGCAUAAAAAGGUCUAAUUACGUAGACUUGUGAUGAAAUGGGCAACUUUGAGGUUGAUCGGAGAUAGAAAGAGACGGUCGCUUGAGUAGUCCACCAAAAAGCUCAGCUGGAUCAUAGUAUAUCUCCACAUCUUCAGCCCUCAAGGAAUCAUCCACCUACCAACAACACACAAAUUACUCAAAAAGUAAUGUCAUAAUCAUAUACACAAUCAUAAUUGCAUAAUUGUAUCAUAUCUUUAUUUUUGUAAAGAAAAAAAUUAUACCUUAUUAAAACAAGGGCAAAGGUGCAGAUACCCCCCUGGACUACACCCCCUAUAGCUUUUACCCCCCCAUACUCGGUCAAAGCGCGUUGACCUCCCCAUAGUCUCGGAAAAA
rnacentral:lncRNA from 1 species